CCAUGGCUUCGCAAGUCCGCAUCCCCUCCCUGCCAGCUAGCCUUAUCCUCAUCCCUGCCGCUGCUCCUUCCUCCUGACGCUUUCUAGCUGUCACUCCUUCCCCAAUCCCCACCUCGUACUCCCCUGCUGCUGGCCUGCUGCUCCCUCCCCACGUCCAGAGUUGUCUUCGAGCUUGAUGGAAGGAGCACUUCCUCGUCCUGCUCGAGCGUUGUGCUGCUUCGCAGACCUGCUGGAGGGUCGGCUUCCUCCUCUCGUCAGAGCAGCCACGCCCUGCACCGCUUCCUCUCCCUGCAGGUGCACCAUGUCCAGUGCCCCCUUCCUCGUCCUGAUGGAGCGCCGCGCCGCACUGCUUCCUCAGCUCUGAGGAGAUAAGGCAGCCCUCAAUCCCACCAACCACCAUCAACAGAACAUCUGAUUCUUCCUCUCCCCCUUUCCAGCAGCAUGGAUUAGAGAUAGCGGCGCUAAAAGUGAGUCGCCGUUUUGGGAUUUAGCGGAGAAAAGCGGCGCAAAAGCGGACGUAGCUGAGAUAGCGGAAGAAAGGAGCAUAUCGUAGCGUGGCAUCUCUGGCCGCUAUUGCGGCGCUAUAGCCUGCUAUUUUUAUCAAUGGUACUGGUACGGUAACAAACUUCCUCUUCACAGUUGUCCCUUGAUUAUGAUCACAGCGCAAGUAUGGAGCAUCCUCAUUAGCCAGCAGGAUGCAUGGAUCAGCAUUGACUGUGAAAGGUGGAAUGUCAGCAAAGUUAUUAUAGUCCUCUGACAAGUCUGUCCUGUCCUCGACUCCAACGAUAUUUCUUUUACUUGAAAGGACUAUGUGUCGCUUUGGCUCAUCGGUUUGCUUGUUGAUCCCCUUCUUUGGCUUGCCAGACAUGUCCUUAACGUAGAAAACCUGAGAAACAUCCUGGGCUAGGAUGAAUGGCUUGUCUCUGUACCCAAGAUUGUUAAGAUCAACUAUUAUCAUACUGUACUGAUC